rnacentral:rRNA from 1 species
CCUACGGGAGGCAGCAGUGGGGAAUUUUGGACAAUGGACGCAAGUCUGAUCCAGCCAUUCCGCGUGCAGGACGAAGGCCUUCGGGUUGUAAACUGCUUUUGUACGGAACGAAAAAGCUCUUAUUAAUACUAGGAGUCCAUGACGGUACCGUAAGAAUAAGCACCGGCUAACUACGUGCCAGCAGCCGCGGUAAUACGUAGGGUGCAAGCGUUAAUCGGAAUUACUGGGCGUAAAGCGUGCGCAGGCGGUUACAUAAGACAGAUGUGAAAUCCCCGAGCUUAACUUGGGAACUGCAUUUGUGACUGUAUAGCUAGAGUACGGCAGAGGGGGAUGGAAUUCCGCGUGUAGCAGUGAAAUGCGUAGAUAUGCGGAGGAACACCGAUGGCGAAGGCAAUCCCCUGGGCCUGUACUGACGCUCAUGCACGAAAGCGUGGGGAGCAAACAGGAUUAGAUACCCUGGUAGUCCACGCCCUAAACGAUGUCAACUGGUUGUUGGGUCUUCACUGACUCAGUAACGAAGCUAACGCGUGAAGUUGACCGCCUGGGGAGUACGGCCGCAAGGUUGAAACUUAAAGGAAUUGACGG